UUGGGACAGAGAGAGACAGAGCAUGAACGGGGGAGGGACAGAGAGAGAGGGAGACACAGAAUCGGAAACAGGCUCCAGGCUCUGAGCCAUCAGCCCAGAGCCCGACGCGGGGCUCGAACUCACGGACCGCGAGAUCGUGACCUGGCUGAAGUCGGACGCUUAACCGACUGCGCCACCCAGGCGCCCCUAAAAAAAUGUUUUUAACGUUUAUUUAUUUUUGACAGAAAGAGAGAGAGAGAGAGAGAGAGAAAGAAUGAGAGAGUGAGAGUGAACGAGCACGAGCAGGGGAGGUGCAGAGAGAGGGAGAAACAGAAUCUGAAGCAGGCUCCAGGCUCCGAGCUGUCAGCACAAAGACUUCCGCGGGGCUCGAACCCAUGAACCGUGAGAUCACAACCUGAGCCACAGAGCACAAGCAGAGCAGGGGCAAACAGAGGGGGAGACACAGAAUCCGAAGCAGGAUCCAGACUCUGAGCUGUCAGCAUAGAGCUUGAUGCAGGGCUUGAACCCACAAACUAUGAUGUGAGAUGACGACCUGAGCUGAAGUCGGAUGCUCAAGUGACUGAGCCACCCAGAUGCCCCCAUGUGUUGUCACAAUGAUUUUUCUUGCCUGAUGCACUGUCUCAAACUUCAAGUACAAUGCUGAAUUCGAUAAUGGGAAGCUGAGCAGAAAGUGGGAGCCGAACUGCUGCAUGCGAGGUGGACCUUCAAGCGUGACAUUUGAAGAUGCGAUUCAGAAAGGAAGCACGUGCAUGAGAAGUACUUACAACCUAAAUGAAAAAGCAUACACACCAACAGAGUAAAUCCCCAACAAACCAACAACUGAAGGGGAUGCGAGGAGCCGAGUGCCGUGUUCUAAUUCUCACCACGAUGCUGACACAAACUACCUUAAACACGAGGCAGACAAACAUUUCUCAAAACUCAGGUUUUUUUUGUUUGUUUGUUUUUUGUUUUUUAGGCUAAGUACCCUGUCUCUCUCUUAUACAUCCAAAUGGGAGAUUCCGUUCACGAUACCUACCGGCAUUCGCUACAAGCAAAAGGGGCAGUUUUCCUCGUUCUACAUCCUCUUUAAUCAGUUUCUCCAAGAAGGCAACAUCCUAGAUUGAAAGGCAAAUCAAAGUAACAUGAAGCAACGGGCAUACAGCUGUACAAUAAGAACUUACAACUUUCAACAAA